AGGGUCGAAUGGUUCGUGUUCAAGGCUCUUGAGCUUUGGCAUAUGGGCUAAAGUUCUAAGAUUGAAAGCAGAAGACAGAACUCUUUAGUAGAAGGCAGUAUACAAAGCAUAGACAAAACUGGAGUUGAUUUUGUCGCACAAGAAGAUCAGAAGGUGAUUCUUCCUCAGGGCAUCCAUCCAGUGGCAGGUGUUUGCAGCUUUUGGCACAUUUAAGGGUGGUCGUGCAUGUGAACGUUGUGCCACUGAAUAUGUGUAUAUGUUCAUCUUAGGAACUCGGAGCGAGUAAGUGCCACACCACUUCUAAGAGAAAGAUCUU